rnacentral:rRNA from 1 species
AGUGAACGCUGGCGGUAGGCCUAACACAUGCCAGUCGAACGGCAGCACAGUAAGAGCUUGCUCUUACGGGUGGCGAGUGGCGGACGGGUGAGGAAUACAUCGGAAUCUACUUUUUCGUGGGGGAUAACGUAGGGAAACUUACGCUAAUACCGCAUACGACCUACGGGUGAAAGCAGGGGAUCUUCGGACCUUGCGCGAUUGAAUGAGCCGAUGUCGGAUUAGCUAGUUGGCGGGGUAAAGGCCCACCAAGGCGACGAUCCGUAGCUGGUCUGAGAGGAUGAUCUGCCACACUGGAACUGAGACACGGUCCAGACUCCUACGGGAGGCAGCAGUGGGGAAUAUUGGACAAUGGGCGCAAGCCUGAUCCAGCCAUACCGCGUGGGUGAAGAAGGCCUUCGGGUUGUAAAGCCCUUUUGUUGGGAAAGAAAAGCAGCAGGUUAAUACCCCGCUGUUCUGACGGUACCCAAAGAAUAAGCACCGGCUAACUUCGUG